UCCACGGGCCUUUAACUCUUAUGCUUCAUGCAGUCCAAUUCCUUUACUGUUUUUAUCUAUGGAGCGAGGAGAAUCUGAAAUGCUUUGUCUUGUCCAUGUCUUGUGUUCACUUUUUGUUUGUUUGUUUGUUUUUUGGUUUGUCUGUUGUUUUUGUUGUAAAUGUUGUUAUUAUUUUUUUCUUUCCUGUCGUUUUUAGUCCUCGUUAGUCUUUAUCUGUUUGCUUGUUUGUUUGUUUGUCUGUUUGUUUGGUUUGUUGGUUGGUUGGUUGGUUGGUUGGUUGGUUGUUGAAUUCGGCUGGUUAUGUAAAGUUCGACAUCGGUGCAAGACCUUUGCCCUAUUCCAGAUUGCUGCUUUUACCUUAUUGGUUCACCUUUGGAGAAUCUUUGGGAGAACGAGCUUAAACCGAGGGGACAAAACUUUCUUUCAGGUGGAAUAUGAAGUGAAAGGCGAUCCAGGUCUCGGACAAGCCUCCAUCCCUCGCUUGGCAAGAACAUCCAGAAGUAACAAGGAGGAGGCACUUUUAUUCGAAGACGUUGAUGUUGUCUGUUUUGGCGAAUUCAGCGCCGCGGUCACUAAAGAACAACUUACCCAGUUGUUAAGGUUUUGUGGCGCCCGUGUCUAUGUCGAUGCUGAAAGUUUAAAAAGAAUGGAUAAGAAUCGUCGAAAGGUUGUCGUCAUCGAUAAAGAAACUCGAAACAGCGUCGACGAUGUGAAGGGUAUUGAACUUCUUUCUCUCGUAUUGCUUGUUCGGAAACUUACUUUAUCCAGCCAAUCUAGGGUUGAACAGAAUUAGCGACAACUCAACAGACUAGACAUUUAGUUAUCGACAACUAUUUGUUAGCGAAGGUACACACAACUUAAGCAGUUGUGAAAUUAAAGCCUGAAAAAAUUCAGACCUGAACGGAA